AGUGAACGCUGGCGGUAGGCCUAACACAUGCAAGUCGAACGGCAGCACAGUAAGAGCUUGCUCUUACGGGUGGCGAGUGGCGGACGGGUGAGGAAUACAUCGGAAUCUACUUUUUCGAGGGGGAUAACGUAGGGAAAAUUACGCUAAUACCGCAUACGACCUACGGGUGAAAGCAGGGGAUCUUCGGACCUUACGCGAUUGAAUGAGCCGAUGUCGGAUUAGCUAGUUGGCGGGGUAAAGGCCCACCAAGGCGACGAUCCGUAGCUGGUCUGAGAGGAUGAUCAGCCACACUGGAACUGAGACACGGUCCAGACUCCUACGGGAGGCAGCAGUGGGGAAUAUUGGACAAUGGGCGCAAGCCUGAUCCAGCCAUGCCGCGUGGGUGAAGAAGGCCUUCGGGUUGUAAAGCCCUUUUGUUGGGAAAGAAAAGCAGCAGGUUAAUACCCCGCUGUUCUGACGGUACCCAAAGAAUAAGCACCGGCUAACUUCGUG
rnacentral:rRNA from 1 species